AAAAAAUCGUAUACUAUAUAGUUUGAUUAACAAACAAACGUAAAGCGAAGAGGAACACUGUGUAAAUCAGUGGCUGUGCCGCAACUGUGAGUCCCUCCUUCGUCAAGUACCGUAUGGUACCUGACUUCGGCGGGCGAAGCCAGGAACUCUUUUUUACGGAAAAAUCCCG
rnacentral:ncRNA from 2 species